UGGGGAAUUUUGGGCAAUGGCCGAAAGGCUGACCCAGCGACGCCGCGUGCGGGAGGACGCCCUUCGGGGUGUAAACCGCUGUCAGAGGGGACGAAAGGCCGGGGUGGGAAUACUGCCCUGGAGUGACGGUACCCUCAGAGGAAGCACCGGCUAACUCUGUG
rnacentral:rRNA from 1 species